CUGACAUAACCACUCAGUCCCUCCAUGGGGAAAGGCAGCUGGUGUUCUGUGUCUACUGGGCUUGGCCAGAUCCUGGGUUUCAAAAGGCCAGCAGACUUGGCAGUAUUCAAAGCUGUGAUUUCUGUUUGAAACCCAGAGAUCAAAGCUGACCGUGGCCAUGGAGAACUCUUCCUACGGAGGAGUGGAGUCCAAAUGGCACAUUUAGACCUUCAUGAUACCAGGAGGAGGCUGCGUUCGCAUCUGGAGUGUCCAGUGUGGGCUGGGCUGGCGAUUCUCCUGGUUUUCUUGGGGUAGCUGGAAGACUGUCACUGGUAUUCUGCUGGGGAAUGAAUGAAUACAUUCAUGGAAGACUGAUGUGGAGUGAAUCUUGUGGCCGAUCACGUAGGAGCAGUUUGAAGGUGACGUGGCCCCCCAAAGCUCACGUGUGAGACAGUGCAAGAAGGUCCAGAGGAGACUGACUGGGCUGUGAGAGCCUUAACCCAACCAGUGAAUGAACCCCUGAUGGGAUUAACUGGGUGGUGGCUGGAGGCAGAGUCUGGCUGCGCUUGUUCUAUAUGAUGGGAACGAAGACCUUCAGAGCAUGAGAACAGGGAAGAGACCAUACAUUGCUCAACGAGAACUCCAGCCUAGCACCGAGGCACAUGCCUGUCAUCCCAGCGACCCCUGCGGCUGAGGCAGGAGGAUCGCAAGUUCAAGAUCAUCCUGCGCAAUUUAGUGUCUCAAAAUAAGAAAUAAAAAUAAAAAGGUCUGGAGAUGUAGUUCUGUGUUAGAGCAAUUGCCAAGCAGGUGUAAGGCCCUUGGUUCCAUCCCCAAUACUGCAAAAAAUAAAUAGAUAAAGGAAAGAAAGAAAGAAAACAAUAUUAUAAUCUAGAGUUGGGUGCAGUGAUGCACACCUGUAAUCCCAACAGCUCAGGAGGCUGAGGCAGGAGGAUCUGAGUUCAAAGCCAGCCUCAGCAACUUAGCAAGGUCCUAAGCAACUCAUGGAGACCCUGUCUCUAAAUCAAGAAUAAAAAGGGCUGGGGAUGUGGCUCAGUGGUUAAGUGCCCCAGGGUUCAAUCCCUGGUAUCCAAAUACACACACACACACACACGCACACACCACACACGCACACACCACACACGCACACACCACACACGCACACACAAACACACACACACUCCAAUGAUCAUAGCAUUGGAAGGAAAGAAGAGCUAGAACGUUAAAAAUAUUACCAUUUAUGCUGAAAUUGCAGCCUUCCCUAUUUAAAGGUCUACUUAGUGGACUUCCUUCUAAUUGGAAAACAAAACAGGGAUUCCUAGCUAGGCCCUUCUCUUUAUCUCUUUCUGUUGAAACACAGAUAUCCUGUUGUGAUAACCUUUGACACUUCAUUACAUCGCCACAGUAAAUAACAACUGCCCCUAUUUUGUCAUGCUACCCCUGGUUAAACAGUGCCAUUCAUCACUGAACAUAAAAGUUGACAUUUUUGUGAAUAGAAGGAAAUGUCAUUUGAAUUCCUUUGCUGUGUUCCCUAAAUUUAUUCAAGGGUUCUGAAUGGUUUAAAUGGCUAAGAAAACUAUGGGAUGGUUGGUUUGUCAGAGAGAACUGCCCCCCACCAAAAAGAGGAUCCAGCCCGUCUGGGGCCAGCGGCAAAAUGUUAAGACUUACAGAACUUCACAGGAAACAUGAACCCGAGUCACCAGGACAGCCACAAGGCCAAAAUAGAUCACAUAGGAAAUAGUUGUUUGCAAUUAUUAAUUAUUCUCAUUGAAAUAUCACCAAUUUAGUUAUUCUGUAGUAGAUAUCUAACUAAUGUGAAAGAUAUCCGCAAGCUUUCUUAUUGCUUAGAAUUGCUUAAGUAGUUUUUUGUUUACUAUUAAAAAAGGACACUUGAGGCUGGGGCUGGGGCUCAGUGGUAGCACACUUACCUGGCAUGUGUAAGGUACUGGGUUCGAUUCUCAGCACCACAUGUAAACAA